AAAUCCCAAUGUAACAGCAAAGGUGAGGCUUUUAAAGUUCUUUUGUGUGGCUUGCUAGUCAAAUAACAACUCUUCUGUUGGUGAAAAAUUAUAUCUAACUUUGCUGUGGAUAGGGAUAUCAAUAUAUUUGGUUCAUUAAUUUAACAAAUAAAUGAUACAUGUGGAUGAUGAGCUCGUGUAGCUUUUUGUGAUAGGACUGUAAAAUCAUUUAGGAGAUUUUGGUCUUAGAACAGAAAAAUGAAAAAUGAAA
rnacentral:misc_RNA from 1 species